GGUACCAUAGUUGAAUAACAACAUUAAAUUGCAGAUUUAAAGGAGUAUUAAAAUACUAGUACCU
rnacentral:tRNA from 1 species